GUUGACUGACAGACUGGCUAAAUGGCCCCCGCGGGCCUGCUAGACCAAGCACUCCGUUUGGGCCUGCUGGACCCCAGGAAGACCUGUCCCUCUGGGGGGGAAGACCCAGUCCUGGCUCUGGCCCGAAGGCUGGGACAGCUGAGUGAGGGGAGGGAGGGAGGUCGAGGAGGAGGUGGGGGAUGCUCGUGUCACAGUGUGCUGGCCUCGGGUACUGGGGGCGAGGACCCGAGUGAGACCAGUGACGCCUUGCUGGUCCUGGAAGGUCUGGGGUCUGAAGAGGUUGGUGGACUGCAUGAGGGAGGGGACAGGGACUUUGGGGAUACUGAGAAAGUAGAGAGGAUAGGGGUUGGAGGGGGGACGUCUGUGGAGGCGGGGCCUGUGUUCUCCAGUGGGACUCUGAGCGGUCUGAUGCGGCAGGUCCACAGGCUGGCAGAGGAGGCAGGGGUCUGCACAGAUCAGUCCUGCAGAUCCUCACUUGCGGUCCUGGGUGCUGCGGUGUCCCUCCCAACCUGUGUAGACCCCCGGCCCCUCAUCGGUAGCACCAACCCCCCCGGCUCGUACCCCCCUCUCCACACACAGCCCCCCCAGGCUGCAGCAGCCCUCAGCGGUCUCCAGGUGUCCCCCGAAUCGCCCCCGACCUCCAUCCUCGCCCCGAGCCCCCGCCCCCCCCACCAGCACCAGUCCCGCUCCCAGCCCCAAAGCCGCGCCACCACCCCCAAACUCGGAUUGGCCUCGGGCGGAGCGGGCCGCUGCGCCUCCCCCCUGGUGGUCCUCGAGGGGGACGGGGGGAAAGAGGGGGAGAAGACGCCACGGGGGAAGUCCAGGAAAGGAGGAUCCCUAAAGGUCCGGCUCAGUAAGCUGUUCCGGACCAAGAGCUCCAGCGGGGGGUUCAGGGGGGCUGCUGGACAAGAGGCCAUCCCUGGCGUCGUCGACUUCAUCAGGGGGGAGUCUGCUGGACGUGUGGGGGUCGACCUGCAGCACCGCCGAGCAGGACAGCAGCAGGCUGCAGGUCAGACCUCACAGUGCCUUCUCUCCGGUGCCCUUCACUCCUGCUUUCACCGGUGAGACGGUGUCUCUGGUUGAUGUGGAUAUUUCUCGAAGGGGUUUGAACCCUCUUCACCCCCCUACGCCUCCCCCCCCACCCAGACGGAGCCUCAGUCUGCUCGAUGAUUUCGGGGGUCCUCCUCAGCAGCAGGGUCAGUUCGGUGAGCGCAGUGUGGGGGCUUCCAUGCAGUCUCUGCCACCCAGACCGAUGGCCCUGCCCCCCUCUCUUAGCACCAUUCAACACAGCCUGAGCC